CUUAGGAUUUAGGCUGCCCUUUGCUGAUCUUGUCUGAUCUCAGAUUAAGAAGGGUCAAGCCUGGUUAGUACUUGAAUGAGAGGUUGCCUAGAAAUACCAGGUGCAGUAAGC
rnacentral:rRNA from 1 species